rnacentral:rRNA from 1 species
UACGUAGGGGUCUAGCGUUGUCCGGAAUCAUUGGGCGUAAAGAGCUCGUAGGCGGUUCGGCAAGUCGGAUGUGAAAUCUCCACGCUCAACGUGGAGGGGCCAUUCGAAACUGCCGUGACUCGAGUCCGGUAGGGGAGUGCGGAAUUCCCGGUGUAGCGGUGAAAUGCGUAGAUAUCUGGAGGAACACCGGUGGCGAAGGCGGCAUCCUGGACCGACACUGACGCUGAGGAGCGAAAGCCAGGGGAGCAAACGGG